GAGUGAGACUGCGCCUGCCAAGUUUAUCUGCCAAGCUUCGGAUGGUACGGUUUGACACGCUGCUGCUAGGAUUUGGAACGAGACUGCAUCUGCCAAGUUUAUCCGCCAAAUUUCUGAUUGUACGGUUUGACACACUGCUGCUAGAGUUUAUAGUGAGACUGCGCCUGCCAAGUUUAUCCGCCAAUCUUCUGACGGUACAGUUUGACGCGCUACUGCUGGAGUUUGGAGCAAAAUCGCACCUACUAAAUUUAUUCGUCAAGCUUUUGACGGUAUGAUUUGACGUGCUGCUUGGUGCUCAACAAUAUUGUGGAGGAGAAGAUCACCAACGAUGAGAAAACAGGAGCCGGAAGCAGAUGCUCAGGAGCCUAACCCUCUUUUAUCUCUUGAACUCG
rnacentral:lncRNA from 1 species